UUCCGUAGGUGACCUGCGGAAGGAUCAUUACCGAGUGCGGGUCCUUUGGGCCCAACCUCCCAUCCGUGUCUAUUAUACCCUGUUGCUUCGGCGGGCCCGCCGCUUGUCGGCCGCCGGGGGGGCGCCUUUGCCCCCCGGGCCCGUGCCCGCCGGAGACCCCAACACGAACACUGUCUGAAAGCGUGCAGUCUGAGUUGAUUGAAUGCAAUCAGUUAAAACUUUCAACAAUGGAUCUCUUGGUUCCGGCAUCGAUGAAGAACGCAGCGAAAUGCGAUAACUAAUGUGAAUUGCAGAAUUCAGUGAAUCAUCGAGUCUUUGAACGCACAUUGCGCCCCCUGGUAUUCCGGGGGGCAUGCCUGUCCGAGCGUCAUUGCUGCCCUCAAGCCCGGCUUGUGUGUUGGGUCGCCGUCCCCCUCUCCGGGGGGACGGGCCCGAAAGGCAGCGGCGGCACCGCGUCCGAUCCUCGAGCGUAUGGGGCUUUGUCACAUGCUCUGUAGGAUUGGCCGGCGCCUGCCGACGUUUUCCAACCAUUUUUUCCAGGUUGACCUCGGAUCAGGUAGGGAUACCCGCUGAACUUAAGCAUAUCAAUAAGCGGAGGAAAAGAAACCAACCGGGAUUGCCUCAGUAACGGCGAGUGAAGCGGCAAGAGCUCAAAUUUGAAAGCUGGCUCCUUCGGAGUCCGCAUUGUAAUUUGCAGAGGAUGCUUUGGGUGCGGCCCCCGUCUAAGUGCCCUGGAACGGGCCGUCAGAGAGGGUGAGAAUCCCGUCUUGGGCGGGGUGUCCGUGCCCGUGUAAAGCUCCUUCGACGAGUCGAGUUGUUUGGGAAUGCAGCUCUAAAUGGGUGGUAAAUUUCAUCUAAAGCUAAAUACUGGCCGGAGACCGAUAGCGCACAAGUAGAGUGAUCGAAAGAUGAAAAGCACUUUGAAAAGAGAGUUAAACAGCACGUGAAAUUGUUGAAAGGGAAGCGCUUGCGACCAGACUCGCCCGCGGGGUUCAGCCGGCAUUCGUGCCGGUGUACUUCCCCGUGGGCGGGCCAGCGUCGGUUUGGGCGGCCGGUCAAAGGCCCCUGGAAUGUAGUACCCUCCGGGGUACCUUAUAGCCAGGGGUGCAAUGCGGCCAGCCUGGACCGAGGAACGCGCUUCGGCACGACGC
rnacentral:rRNA from 1 species